rnacentral:lncRNA from 1 species
GUGAGAAUUGAUCUUUGAAAUCGUCCCACACUUGUUGGGCAGUUUUGGCAUGAACAACCCCUUGCUCUAGAUCAGGCUCCACUGAAUGUGCAAGCCAUGAUAAAAUCAUACUAUUGCACUGAUUCCAGAGAGCAUAUUGUGCCUGGAGUUCUAUUUCUGAUGGGGGCUGAAUGGAGCCACAAAGCCAAUUUUGUUUUUGGCUAUGAGAGCAUGCAUCAUGGAUUUACCCCAAGAUGGGUAAUUGGCGCCGUUCAAUUUUGUUGGAACGAGCAUAUGACCAAGAUGAUCUGAAUGAUGAACAUAGUAUGGGUUUGAUGAAUCCAUAUAGGGAUUAUCGUUGCUAUUGUUCAAAUUUUUGGAAUUGGAAUUUUUGGUUUAUGGGGGUGUUAAAUCUUCUCCUGCCAUGAUGUUGGAAAGUUUGCUAGGGUUCUGAGAGGGUCAAGAAAUCAGGCACCAGGACGGUGCUCUGAUACCAUUUUAAGAUUUCAGAGGAAUGGGCCCUUGACCCACCACUAGCAACAUCAAUAUUGUCCCCAACCUAAUCACCUAUUUAGCAGGUGUGGG